GGGGAUGAAAGGAUUUCGACGGGAUUUUUGAAGCAGGAUAAGCGAGCAGAGUAGCGAACACUCUUAAAAGUCGCAAUUGUCUAAAAUAAACGACAACAAUUAUUCUUUAAAGGCUGCUUAAUGUAGCCCGUUCUGCCGAAGAGGACUACGGCUUCGGUCUGAGCGUCAUUUAGUAGUGCACGUGAACAGGUACACCGCCUUGUAACCUGUCAUGCAUAACAGGGCUGCCCGAAAACACCUUUGUUAAUUGUGGUGUCAAGGGGAGAGCGAACAAUUGACUACGCUCGUAGAAGGUCGUGUGAAUGAUUUUUCGGACGCGGGUUCGACUCCCGCCAUCUCCACCA
rnacentral:tmRNA from 1 species